rnacentral:rRNA from 1 species
AGUGGCGAACGGGUGAGUAAUAUAUCGGAACGUGUCCGGAAGUGGGGGAUAGCUCGGCGAAAGCCGGAUUAAUACCGCAUAUGCCCUGAGGGGGAAAGGGGGGGAUCGCAAGACCUCUCGCUUUCGGAGUGGCCGAUAUCGGAUUAGCUAGUUGGUGGGGUAAAGGCUCACCAAGGCGACGAUCCGUAGCUGGUCUGAGAGGACGACCAGCCACACUGGAACUGAGACACGGUCCAGACUCCUACGGGAGGCAGCAGUGGGGAAUUUUGGACAAUGGGCGAAAGCCUGAUCCAGCCAUACCGCGUGAGUGAAGAAGGCCUCCGGGUUGUAAAGCUCUUUCAGCUGGAAAGAAAACGCAUCUCUUAAUACGAGGUGUGGAUGACGGUACCAGCAGAAGAAGCACCGGCUAACUACGUGCCAGCAGCCGCGGUAAUACGUAGGGUGCGAGCGUUAAUCGGAAUUACUGGGCGUAAAGCGUGCGCAGGCGG